AGAGGGGAAAUCCUGGAGAGACAACACAGGAGCUUUUUCACCCCGUCACGGUCCGCCACAGCCCCGCCCUUACCCCCGAUAAGUUCACCGACCCACGUGCUCCCGUGUGUCGCCUAUAAAAGCUCACUUACCAUCAACUUGCACGCCAAUGUUCCUCCGUGAUGGCCGAUGGAAAGUCGCUGCUCGGAAUCUCGUCGGCCUCACUCGUCCACAGGGGGACGUGUCACCUACGUUGUCCACCUAUCUCCACCGGAUAGAGAAGCCGAGAAACUGGCGUGAUCGAUGGAUCGUCGAGAUUCUCGAAAAAAAUUGGCCUUCCUAUCCCCCGAGGAGGCCGCCGGACCAACCCCGAAACGGACGAGCCACGAUCCUUCGUUCCAAUAGCGUCGACACCAGCCCGCCUCGUCCAACUUUCAGGCGAUUCAAUGGAUGUGGAAGGAGCAGCGCGUCGAAGGAUUCAUCGAUCGGCCUUCCUCGAUCUCCGCCAACCCGUUAUAAACAGACAACCGUAUCUACCUCGUUAUCGGCCACACCUUCUUUCUCUUCGUCCCUUGACGACGCGACACCUCGCGAAAACAAUCCGGAUCUCUCGUUAAGGUUCGGUUACCUCGUAGCAUGGAUCAUAGAUAUGUGGCCGGCUUGCAAUUCGUGACAAAGUAUAUGAUUUAUCGCCAUCUAGCCGAUCGUUGAGGAAUGACGAGAAAGAAAGAGAGAGAGAGAGAGAGUGGGAUUGGGAAAGGAUUUUAAAAAUUUGUUUUAAUUUUAUUUAUAAUAUAACGUUAUUGGUUAAAAAUUAUCAUGUAAAGUGAAAUUUUCUAUUCAUUCAGUCAUUAAGCAAUAAUGUAUAUUUUAUCAUAUAGAGAGGAUCGUUGUAUGUAUAAAGUUUUUUUAUAAUAAAUGAUUCUUUCAUCAUCGAAGAAGGGAGAAGAUUUUUAUAUUGUUCCAUUAUGGCGAAAAUUCUCGUUAGUAGGGAAAACUUUUCCGAUCGAUCUAAUAAUAAAAAUAAGAAGAGGAAAGAGGGAGAGGGAGGGGGAAGUCUAUUCUUAGAUUUAUCAUGGCACUUAUUCCCGUUUUCAUGUUCGGUGUUCAAUUUCUCUCCUCCAUAAAAUCCCCAUCGUUACGUGCCCUAUUGUUUUAGAUUCAAUUCCCGUUGAAAACCUUCUUAGAUAUCUGACCAGAAUUAUUUAUGAGACGACGUGACGUUUCGUAUUGCGGCAUUUGAUUCUACAAAAUAUAGAAAGAAAUUGGGGAUAUUGUGGGUCGUUGUUCCAUUCCCUUUAUUAGGAUCUUUUCUAGAUAAAUAUAAUUUCAAAAACUGAACGAAUACCGAGUUUAUCGUAACAAACUAUCCACUCCUUUAAAGCGAUAUAUUUAUUAUUUCGAUCGAGCAAAAAAAGAAACGAAGUUAGAAAUUUUGCUUUGCCCCUCCUCCCCCAAGAAUUCGACGGCGCGGAUUUUAUACGGCGAGAAAUGCAAGGCACGACGUUUUAAAAUAGAUUACGUUCAAGCGCAAUAAUAAUUUAUUGAAGUCGUAAAAUGAACAUCGUCUUCGCCCAUAUUUCUCCCAUUCGUAAUUCAACGUUUUACGAUUUUAACGUGAAGUAUGGGGGGGCAAUGAAUAACUGCUAACGUUGCUCGUAUCGAAGUUUAAAAUUAGGGCACAUCGCUUACCCACUUCUUUAAUUCCACUGGCAUUGUGCGAGAGAGAAAUGUGAAAUUUGCGAUAAAUAAUCCAUUUUCCUGCGUAAUUUAAACACACACUCACAUACAUACACGCGUUUUGAUGCGAUGAAGUGAUCCCGGUGCAAAAUGAAAAGGAAGAAGAAAAAAAAAAAUUAUUCUCUUUGUGAGCAUCAUUUUCAAUUUACACAUCUCGGAGGGGGAAAUUCAUCGCGUACAAUAGUUAAACGAGAACCGCGAGAAAAUAAAAUAUUUAAUAUCAACCCCGCCGCACUUUCAUUCGUUUCAUUCGUAUUUACCAUCGUUAAAAAUUAAAAGGAGGGAAAAAGAAACCGAGUGGAGGGGGUGGAAAAUAAUUCACGUUCGAUUCGUAAAAUCCUCUCUCUCUCUCUCUCUUUCAAAGAUUACAAUUCCACGAUUCACGACCUGGAUCUAUUUUUCCAUGAGCCGAGGAGCAACGACUACUCGAUCGUGAAUCAACGUGAUGGAUAGCCGAGAGCUUCAUUUUUAUUUGAUCCAUUAAAAAAAAAAAAAAACAAAUCGGUUGAAUAUUGUAAAUCGUUGUUGCGUGCUAACCAUUUAACCUGGUUAAAUUGAAAUCGAAAUGACCUUUUCGAGAAUUCGAUGCGACUGUUGAUCGAUGACGAAAUUGAUUGUGACGCGGCACAACGAUUUUCCCAUAAAGAAGGCCAAGUCGUUCGAUAUUCGUCCUAGCCAUCGCGAAAUGCCUCGAGAUUCCGAUAAUAAAUCUUCUCAAAGGAAUAGAAGAUGAAGGCUGGCUAGUAGUUAAAUCGGUCUCGUUCUCACGAUUGUUCUCUCGUGAAUCUACUCUCGCGAAUAAAUCUUCCAUCCGUCGUCAGAUCUGGUUUACAUCGAGUUUCUUUACGUUAAGAAUCACGAUGGCGUGCUUCUGUAUUCUGUUCCUUCUAAUCUAUCGUGAUUUUGAUCGAUCAAUUUAAUCAAAAUCAUCGACUCGUAAUAUUUUAUCAUCGUAUCCUUCCCUCUUAAAAUGUAGAAAUGUAAAUUGCGAUCAAACGUUACUCCUAAUCUUUCCUCCCUCUUCGUGGAUUAAACUUUCAAACACGAAUUAUCAAAUGGAUCCAUCGGGUGAAUUUCACCGGGAUUUCAAACGAUCGUUUAUAUAACGUAAAUGCCUCCGUGCGUUCCACAGAGCCUGGUAGCCUCGAAGCAAACAACUUGAAUGGCCAUUGUUUCGUCGUAAAAACGUAAUGAAACGGCUUGGCUAGGCGAAAAAUAUUCCCUCCCAUGGUCGCGCGAUCUGUGGCGAAGAUCGGCCUUUGAAAAAAAAAAAAAAAAAAA